rnacentral:pre_miRNA from 1 species
UUGUUACUCCCUUCGUUCGGAAUUACUUGUCGUAAAAAUGGAUGUAUCUAGACGUAUUUUAGUUCUAGAUAUAUCCAUAUCCGAGACAAGUAUUUCCGAACGGAUGGAGUACAAU